UCCGGUGCAUUUUCCCGCCAACGUCUGAGGUAAAAGCUGGACGUUAUCGCCGUCGGCUUCUCAGCGAGUGUCGCGCCCUAAGCAGGCCGCGCGCGUUGUGAGGGUUCUUUAUUGUUUCGGAGCCGCGAGGUGCUCCGUCCUUCCGCUUCUGCCCGCCACUGCGACACCCCUGUGAGCAACUAUGCAGACUUUGAAAAGCAGCAGCUCGCACGUUGCCUGAUAGCCAAAAAGGGUGAGGAGACGUCAGCUCCUGAUUUUCUGUGGGUCGAAUGAGCAAUUUUUCAUUCUGUUUUUGAAAAAGGCUGAUUGUGGUGAGACUUUGGAGACAGAAAAUGUCCAGCUGAGGUCUACAG